GUACCUUCAAGCUUUGCUUGGUGUUGGGUGUUUGUCCCGCCUCUGUGCGCGGACUCGCCUUAAAGCAAUUGGCAGCCGGCGUAUAGGUUUCGGAGCGCAGCACAAAACGCGCUCUGUGUCCAUUACGGCGGCGUCCAUUAAGCCUUUUUUCACA
rnacentral:misc_RNA from 1 species